GAUGAAGAACGCAGCGAAAUGCGAUACUUGGUGUGAAUUGCAGAAUCCCGUGAACCAUCGAGUCUUUGAACGCAAGUUGCGCCCGAAGCCAUUAGGCCGAGGGCACGCCUGCCUGGGCGUCACACGUCGUUGCCCCCCCAUCUACUCCUUCGGGAUUGCGGGGGGCGGAUGAUGGCCUCCCGUGCGCCUCGUCGCGCGGUUGGCAUAAAUGCCAAGUCCUCGGCGACGCACGCCACGACAAUCGGUGGUUGCGAAACCUCGGGUGCCCGUCGUGUGCGGUCGUCGCGCAUCGAGGGCUCGAAAAAAUUGCCGGGCUCCGGCUCGGCUUUCAACGCGACCCCAGGUCAGGCGGGGUUACCCGCUGAAUUUAAGCAUAUCAAUAAGCGGAGGA
rnacentral:misc_RNA from 1 species